GACGAACGCCGGCGGCGUGCUUAACACAUGCAAGUCGAACGGAAAGGCCCUGCUUUUGUGGGGUGCUCGAGUGGCGAACGGGUGAGUAACACGUGAGUAACCUGCCCCUGACUUUGGGAUAACUUCAGGAAACUGGGGCUCAUACCGGAUAGGAGCUCCUGCUGCACGGUGGGGGUUGGAAAGUUUCGGCGGUUGGGGAUGGACUGGCAGCUUAUCAGCUUGUUGGUGGGGUAGUGGCUUACCAAGCCUUUGACGGGUAGCCGGCCUGAGAGGGUGACCGGGCACAUUGGGACUGAGAUACGGCCCAGACGGCUACGGGAGGCAGCAGGGGGGAAUAUUGCGGAGUGGGCGGAAGCCUGAUGCAGCGACGCCGCGUGCGGGAUGACGGCCUUCGGGGUGUAAACCGCUUUCGCCUGUGACGAAGCGUGAGUGACGGUAAUGGGUAAGGAAGCACCGGCUAACUACGUG
rnacentral:rRNA from 1 species